GUUGAUGUCCGUCCGAUCGUGGAGUACAGGAUUAGCGCUCAGCUGAUUUUGUAGUCAAUCGUCUACGUGGUGUACAUUAAUUAGUUUGCUCUUUUUACACUUAUUGGAAUUAAUUAGUUAGGUGGAGAUUAUGUUUAUCCAUGGUAUAUUCGAGUAUUUAUAGAGAGUGAUUGUAUUUAUACUAGGGAAGUAUAUCAUUAAAUCCUCGUCAUCAUUUUCAACCAGUGAUUCAGUGUACAGUCAGA
rnacentral:lncRNA from 1 species